UGUUUUGUUUCUUGUUCAGAGUAUCAACCUAUCUUAGCCCCCAACCCAUUUCUUACAUAACCGAUUCUUUCCCUGAAUAGGUUGCUAGUGUUCGGUCCUGAUCCAAGAUGAGGAACCAAACCAAGUCUUGAAAGUCUUCCUCAAGUGAGUACUGGUCCACCUAUCCAGUAUGUGAGGAAGUUUCUCCCAUGGAGCUAGCUUUUGUAUGUUACUAAGCCGGAUCGCCCAUACUAGGUUCUUUUUCCACGCUAUGUGACUAGCCGACGAUGAUGGGACUAGUAGACGCAGCAGACUGAACUUGUCUCAUGAAAUGGUUCUUCUCGACAAUCCAUUUAUUGUAGGUUAGAUUCAGCCCUAUUAAGUAAAGGCAGACUGACGCUCUUGCGUCUGCAUGAUCUGAUUUCUAGAAUUGGUGGGCCCCACUUGUGGUUGGUGAAGAAAUGUGCUGAAUUUUACUUCUAUCGUGCCUAUCUAUGCGGCUCCCGAUAGAAGCAAUAUUUGAUUACAGGAAAGCCAACUAGUAGACGUUACGCUCCUCAACCUAUCGGUUGAGUCACUUCGAUGCACUCUCCUUCAGGUAGGAUUCUUUUAUAAACAUUGAGGAGGUAAGAGCCCUAUCAACCAUACAUUUCGUAUACUACUGAAAACUAUAAGCUUAAAGUCCUUACUCAACUACAAGUACAGUAAGGAAGGAAAGGGCUACAUCCUCUUUCUUAUAAUGCAUUCCUUAUUUAUUGCUCUAUCCAUAGAGAGAAGACAAAGAUGCAAUUCAAGGUCUUAUGCUUAGAGUGAUUCAAGAAGAUAACUAGAGGAACCUCAAAGGCCUAUCCGAGAGGCAAGGAAUGUAGCUACUUACUAUAAAGGCAGGGUCCGAAGGACUUUUUCCUUCUUUCAAUUCUAUAUCUCUAGAUGGAAGUCCUGAGUGAGUCCAGUCCGGAUAGUAGGCAGCCUUUUGGAUUCCCUCCCUCAUCUAGUGAUGAUUGUCAUAGAUAGGUCUCAUCCCUCUGACAGUCCUGGUCCUGCCUUCAAUUCUUUCUUCUAUUGAUUGAUAGCGAAGAAUGAAAGAAAUGGAUAUGGAGAUCGUUCCUCUGUGCUCUUUCUUGCUACUUGCUUGUAGGGUUAGCACAAGCUAGGUUUUCCAUCCGAACCCUUAACUUACUGUGAGUGGAAUAAGGCCAGUGAAAGCGGAAGGUUAGUUCCUCUCUGCUCUUAGCCCGGCAGGUCCCCCUGGACGUUCCCACUUAGCUAAUUGAAUGUAUUUCCCCUUCCUUGCCUAAGCCUAACUGGAAGUGUAAGAAGGUAGCUCUAAGGUUCAUAUUCUCUAGUAGUCCUCCUGAAAGCUCAUAAGGCAGGCUGCUCCUUUCCUAUUGCUGUUCCUCUUGAGUAGUAGGACUAACAUUCAUUGCCUUCCUUCUCUAACUCUGACUUUAAUAAGGCAUUCUGCUUCCCCUGCCCUCGAUUCCAAAGGAAUGGUCUAAGGGCUUCCCUCUUCCAAGUCCCCCUCGGGGGGUUUCGAAUAUGAGCUCGCUCUUUAUAUGCAUUCUAAAGGCAGGAAGAGAGGUUGCCACGAGAAGCUCCGAUUGAACGAGAGAUUGAGGAAGGGGAUCGAAAGGCUUUAUCUCCAAAGUGCCGUCUCCGAUUGGCUCAAUUACUUUGAUUCGAUUGGUAAGACUUAUAUGACUCACUCGCUUAGACUGGAUUGCUGGCUUAGAAUAAAUCUCCAUAUUGACCAAUAGCUGGCUUGGUUCCGCUUUCUUAAGCAUCCAUUAGUGUUGGGGGUUUAAUAGAUGGAUUCACUUACUGCUGCUGGGAUUGCCUUCCGAAGGAGAGAGUUAGGUGCUUGUUGAGUAAGGCCGGCUUUAUUCGAUUGCUUGAUUGUUGGGAUUGACAGCUUGAAUUGAGGGGCUGGUUACGGUUAAAGACUUCCAGCUGAGAAAGAUACAGAUAACAUAUAUAGAUUUAUAGGUCGAAGGGGCGGCAGAGAUCCAUUGAGAGGAAGACAGAUUGGGAUAGAGGGAGAAGGAGACAGCUACCAGUUUUAGGGAUCGAGCCCAGGGAAAAAGACAGGGACUUAGAUGGGAAGUUCAAUGUCUGGAGCAAUACACUAUCAUUUGUUUUCACUUACAAUGUUGCCGAUAUAACCGGACAGCAGACAGGUGAUAGAAGCCAGUAACAGAUUCCCAGUGAAGGAUACAAGGACGUAAUACCUAUAUAAGAGAGCCUGGUUGGGAGAUAAAGCUCGAAAGCUCAGGAGACAGAAUUGAAUGGAAGAUAUAGGGAUGGCAGUUGCCAGCUCUUCUUUCCGAUCUUGAUUGCUUUCCGGUCCAUUGUUCGAUUCUAUAGCUAAUAUAGCUUAACUCCAUCUCUCGUAUCGGCUAAUCAAUGAGUGGGGACAUGAGAAGUAGGAUUAGCUGCCCUCAGAACACUUUCUAGCCUCCUAAAGGAAGUAUUAAAAGAUAAGAUAACGCUAUGCGCACACAAGCUAACUUCAGGUAUGCAGUUAGUUCUCAAGCGAUUCCCUUGUUGACUUCGGAUCUUACUUCUUCCUGCCUUCAAACCAAGCAUGAGAAUCGACUAGUCGCCUAGCCUGGUUCUUCUUUGUUUUCCUGAGCAGUAUGGUACGGCACGUGGGAAAUCACGAUCAGAGAGAAGUAACGAGACGAGAAAUCCACAGGAAAUAACGAAGUACAAGCGUGAAUUAUCUAUCUAUCUCUUUCCUUGUUGCGGCCGCUCGCCCUACAUCAGUGCCAAAGGCUUGCGACUUGUCUGGAUCCAGAGGUGGAAGAAGGACCUCCAUCAUCUUUGUACCCGGAUCCUAUUCCUAUCCACAGCUAGUAACUGAGGGUUGCCUGGUUGCCCUCACCUGCCAAAUACCUGCUUCGGGGGAUACCAACUAAUAACUAAUAGCGGGAUUUCCACAAAUGGUAAGAGUAAACACCUCUAGAAUCUACGGAUCUGAGGACCUAGCCCUUAAAAAGGGAGUGAAACGUUGCGCUCACUAACGCUUAUUAAGAGGGCUACGCUCGCUACAAUCCUCUUAUCUUAACAGGGGCUGAAAGAAUGCAAAAAGAACUGGGCAGUAGCGCCUUUCCCUCGCUCUGAUCAGGAAGCCAUGUUAGAAAACACAUGUAUCCAACGGUGGCAGAAGAGAUUUGUGCAGGAGCUGGCGGAUGCUGGAGAUCCAUCAGAGUUGACAACAUUGGGAGUUUUUCCACAUUUGGCAGCGUAGGCACGCCGAAACGAGUUAAGAAGCGAGCUACAUACCUGGGGUUCAAAACCAUUAAACCCCGCCUGCUGUUGUUGGUAGUCUCCUCAGAUGGUAUUUCAACGGAGAAUCGGAUAGAGUGGAUGGACACCUAUGCUACCUUACCUGCCUUUACGGAAAUCGUUUCAAGACAGGAAAGCCUUUCAAUCCGUUCUGUUGUUCGAAAAAAGCCUCGCAAUCAGCUAUUGAGUAUAUCUAAUAAUCUAUGGUACUAGCUUAGCCCUAGUAAGGCUCACUUUUUGUCUCGAAUAGUCUUUCCUUUCUUUUUCUUUCGAAAGGGAAGUAAGUAAGGUCUUUUUGCUAUUGGUUCCCGCCAAGCAUUGGCGCAACUGCAGUCCCAUAGUGUGUUUCCUUCUCCAUAGUCAGAAGGCAUGUAUUCUCCAUAGCCAGAAAGAAGGCAUGUCUUCGUUAGCUUCGAUUGCAGCACCAGAAGCAGUCUCACAAAAUCGUACCAAAUGACCCAACAGUUAUUCUUUAUGGCAUCGUUGUCGGCUCUGAAACAGCAGUUCAAACUAUCCCUUUUAAGGCCUUCUAAGCCUUCCUAUUCGCUCUGGAACAACCCGCUUUUGGAUAGGCAUCGAUAGAUCAAAAUGGAACGACAGGAAUGGAUAUAGGUGAGAUGGCCGGCCCAAAGGUAGAUAGCGGCAGUUUGGCCCUGGGUUGGUCUGUUGGUUGCUAAGUAGCUUAUGGCUCUCCUCUUUUUCUUUAGAUUUAGAGGAGGAAGCCUCUGUUUGGAUCUCUUUUCCUGAUAUCCCCGUUAAUUCUUUUUCUGGGAAUGAGUUCGGGUUCUCAAUCUGAUGUUCACCAAAAUGGACGUUUAAGCAUAUUACUUUUUCGGUAAUUUCCCAUUGAUGAGCAUAAAAUAAACAUAUAUAAUAAUCUAAGGUGCUGAGUAUAGCUAAUAGCUAAAUAAUCUAAAGAUGCNNN
rnacentral:lncRNA from 1 species